UGUCCAGCAACUCCUAUCCCUACUUCCUCGUGGUACUGGCCGGCGUACGAGUAACCUAUGGGAAGAUCGGGUAACUAACCCCGGAACUUUGGUCGUAUUCUGACAGGGCAGG
rnacentral:ribozyme from 1 species